ensembl:rRNA 5S_rRNA 5S ribosomal RNA
GUCUACAGCCAUACCACCCUGAACAUGCCCAAUCUCAUCUGAUCUUGGAAGCUAAGCAGGGUCAGUCAGGCCUGGUUACUACUUGGAUGGGAGAAAGGAAGUGAAGGCAGGACUAUAGAAA